GAAAAGAAGAGGGGAAAGUUCUGAGUCAGCCAUUUAAAAUAUCGGCAAUAGUUCUCACCACCUCACAAAAGCAGCCUGUGUACAACUCACGGCCAGUCCAAGGGGACCGAGGCACGGGCAGGAACAGGAUUUAAAGGUUACACAGAAAUCUGGAGGAAAAGAGGCACUGCAAUCACAUGGGUCAGCAAUCCAGCGUGACUUUCAUUUCUCUAACUUGUCCAAUUGACUCCCAACCUUCGGUGACUGAGGGUCUCUGGACUUCCCUGGUGGCUCAGAUGGAAACCAUGCCGUACCUAGCAACAGCUGCUACAGGGAGCCGACUCUCCGGAGAGCCCAACAACAGAGCACACGGCUGACUGCAACUCCCAGAAACGACUGAAAGGAAAGGCACGUUUAUUUCAAGGCCAGGCUGGGACGGGAUCUGGGUUUCCAGCAGUGGAGUCAUGGCGGCUUCUGUGGCCGGCCCGACGGGGCGCUGAGCGGCUCGCCGGAGGGCGCCGUCCGGAGAAGGAGCAGAUUCACCCUCUCUGGUCGGCAAUGGUCCUUGUUCCUGAGAUUCCUGUUGCUCCUUGUUCCCGUUCAGCUGGGUCAACAUGUGCCUGUAAAUUUCUCCCAAAAGGGAGAUCACAGCAGCAUCACCAGCCCCAGAAAUGACAAACAACUCAAGUAUGGGAAGGCAGCUGCCAAGUAUUCAACAGGACUCAUGUUGCACCAGAAAAAAAAUACCAGAUAAGAAAAAUAAACCGAGUUGUGAGCAUAUUUCCCUAAAUAUGUCUCCAUGUUGUGGUUCCUUCCCGUCUUCGGUGUAACGAAUACACCAAUUUGUCAGGGGUCAUGGAGCGGCAGUCCUACGAAGCCUGCCUCGUGUCGGUGAACUCAGUCUCCUGGUCCUCUCCCUUCUCAGGGCAGAGAGCGAUGCAAAGACUUCAGCACACAGAGCCACUGACGUUAAUUUUCCUGCCAGCCUACUGGCUAAGG
ensembl:lncRNA